AUUGGGACUGAGAUACGGCCCAGACUCCUACGGGAGGCAGCAGUGGGGAAUAUUGCACAAUGGGCGCAAGCCUGAUGCAGCGACGCCGCGUGCGGGAUGACGGCCUUCGGGUUGUAAACCGCUUUUGACUGGGAGCAAGCCCUUCGGGGUGAGUGUACCUUUCGAAUAAGCACCGGCUAACUACGUGCCAGCAGCCGCGGUAAUACGUAGGGUGCAAGCGUUAUCCGGAAUUAUUGGGCGUAAAGGGCUCGUAGGCGGUUCGUCGCGUCCGGUGUGAAAGUCCAUCGCUUAACGGUGGAUCCGCGCCGGGUACGGGCGGGCUUGAGUGCGGUAGGGGAGACUGGAAUUCCCGGUGUAACGGUGGAAUGUGUAGAUAUCGGGAAGAACACCAAUGGCGAAGGCAGGUCUCUGGGCCGUCACUGACGCUGAGGAGCGAAAGCGUGGGGAGCGAACAGGAUUAGAUACCCUGGUAGUCCACGCCGUAAACGGUGGAUGCUGGAUGUGGGGACCAUUCCACGGUCUCCGUGUCGGAGCCAACGCGUUAAGCAUCCCGCCUGGGGAGUACGGCCGCAAGGCUAAAACUCAAAGAAAUUGACGGGGGCCCGCACAAGCGGCGGAGCAUGCGGAUUAAUUCGAUGCAACGCGAAGAACCUUACCUGGGCUUGACAUGUUCCCGACAGCCCCAGAGAUGGGGCCUCCCUUCGGGGCGGGUUCACAGGUGGUGCAUGGUCGUCGUCAGCUCGUGUCGUGAGAUGUUGGGUUAAGUCCCGCAACGAGCGCAACCCUCGCCCCGUGUUGCCAGCACGUUAUGGUGGGAACUCACGGGGGACCGCCGGGGUUAACUCGGAGGAAGGUGGGGAUGACGUCAGAUCAUCAUGCCCCUUACGUCCAGGGCUUCACGCAUGCUACAAUGGCCGGUACAACGGGAUGCGACACCGCGAGGUGGAGCGGAUCCCUUAAAACCGGUCUCAGUUCGGAUUGGAGUCUGCAACCCGACUCCAUGAAGGCGGAGUCGCUAGUAAUCGCGGAUCAGCAACGCCGCGGUGAAUGCGUUCCCGGGCCUUGUACACACCGCCCGUCAAGUCAUGAAAGUGGGUAGCACCCGAAGCCGGUGGCCCAACCUUUUGGGGGGAGCCGUCUAAGGUGAGACUCGUGAUUGGGACUAAGUCGUAACAAGGUAGCCGUACCGGAAGGUGCGGCUG
rnacentral:rRNA from 1 species